GACGAACGCUGGCGGCGUGCUUAACACAUGCAAGUCGAGCGAAGAUUUUCUGGUGGUUGCAUUAGCAAAAGUCAGAGGCGUAAGGAUGAGGUACAUGUACUGAACUUGACUCCUAGACAGGGACAACAAACGGAAACGAAUGCUAGUAAAGGGUAACAGUAAUUCUCGUGUGGGGGAAGUUUAUAAGUUGGAUAUGGAAACAACAUGCGAUCGGCUUGCGGUGGAGUGACUAGCUGGUGGGGUAAAGGCCCACCAACGCGACGAUGCGUAGCCGACCCGAGGGGGUGAACGGGCACACAGAGACUGAGAGGCGACACAGACUCCUACGGGAGGCAGCGAUAGGGAAUCUUCCGCGAUGUGCGAAAGCCUGACGGAGCAACGCCGCGUGAGUGAAGAAGGAUUUCGGUUCGUAAAGCUCUGUUGUUAUGGAAGAAUGGAUAUGUUGUAACUAUACAUGUAAGAGACGGUACCUAGCCAGAAAGCCACGGCUAACUACGUG
rnacentral:rRNA from 1 species